AUCGUACCGAGAUCCGACACAGGUGCGCUGGCAGAGCAAGCCAAGGUCUGUCGGGAUCAACCGACGUUAGGGAAUUCGGCAAGUUAGUCCCGUAAGUUCGCGAUAAGGGAUACCUGCUCUUGAUCGAGCAGGUCGCAGUGACUCGGACGCUCCGACUGUCUAGUAACAACAUAGGUGACCGCAAAUCCGCAAGGACUCGUACGGUCACUGAAUCCUGCCCAGUGCGGGUAUCUGAACACCCAUUACAAUGGGACGAAGGACCCGUCAACGGCGGGGGUAACUAUGACCCUCUUAAGGUAGCGUAGUACCUUGCCGCUUCAGUAGCGGCUUGCAUGAAUGGAUCAACGAGAGCGUCACUGUCCCAACGUUGGGCCCGGUGAACAGCACGUUCCAGUGCGGAGUCUGGAGACCCCCAAGGGGAAGCGAAGACCCUAUAGAGCUUUACUGCAGGCUGUCGCUGAGACGUGGUCGCUAAUGUGCAGCAUAGGUAGGAGCCGUUACACAGGUACCCGCGCCAGCGGGCCACCGAGGCAACAUUGAAAU
rnacentral:ncRNA from 1 species